UAGGGAAUCUUCGGCAAUGGACGAAAGUCUGACCGAGCAACGCCGCGUGAGUGAAGAAGGUGUUCGGAUCGUAAAACUCUGUUGUUAGAGAAGAACAAGGACGUUAGUAACUGAACGUCCCCUGACGGUAUCUAACCAGAAAGCCACGGCUAACUACGUGCCAGCAGCCGCGGUAAUACGUAGGUGGCAAGCGUUGUCCGGAUUUAUUGGGCGUAAAGCGAGCGCAGGCGGUUUCUUAAGUCUGAUGUGAAAGCCCCCGGCUCAACCGGGGAGGGUCAUUGGAAACUGGGAGACUUGAGUGCAGAAGAGGAGAGUGGAAUUCCAUGUGUAGCGGUGAAAUGCGUAGGUAUAUGGAGGAACACCAGUGGCGAAGGCGGCUCUCUGGUCUGUAACUGACGCUGAGGCUCGAAAGCGUGGGGAGCAAACAGG
rnacentral:rRNA from 1 species